GAUGAACGCUGGCGGCGUGCCUAAUACAUGCAAGUCGAGCGAACAGACGAGGAGCUUGCUCCUCUGACGUUAGCGGCGGACGGGUGAGUAACACGUGGAUAACCUACCUAUAAGACUGGGAUAACUUCGGGAAACCGGAGCUAAUACCGGAUAAUAUAUUGAACCGCAUGGUUCAAUAGUGAAAGACGGUUUUGCUAUCACUUAUAGAUGGAUCCGCGCCGCAUUAGCUAGUUGGUAAGGUAACGGCUUACCAAGGCAACGAUGCGUAGCCGACCUGAGAGGGUGAUCGGCCACACUGGAACUGAGACACGGUCCAGACUCCUACGGGAGGCAGCAGUAGGGAAUCUUCCGCAAUGGGCGAAAGCCUGACGGAGCAACGCCGCGUGAGUGAUGAAGGUCUUCGGAUCGUAAAACUCUGUUAUUAGGGAGGAACAAAUGUGUAAGUAACUAUGCACGUCUUGACGGUACCUAAUCAGAAAGCCACGGCUAACUACGUG
rnacentral:rRNA from 1 species